AUUUUGUGACUGAGUGGCGGACGGGUGAGUAACGCGUGGGUAACCUGCCUCAUACAGGGGGAUAACAGUUGGAAACGGCUGCUAAUACCGCAUAAGCGCACAGUACCGCAUGGUACCGUGUGAAAAACUCCGGUGGUAUGAGAUGGACCCGCGUCUGAUUAGCUAGUUGGUGGGGUAACAGCCUACCAAGGCGACGGUCAGUAGCCGACCUGAGAGGGUGACCGGCCACAUUGGGACUGAGACACGGCCCAAACUCCUACGGGAGGCAGCAGUGGGGAAUAUUGCACAAUGGGGGAAACCCUGAUGCAGCGACGCCGCGUGAGCGAAGAAGUAUUUCGGUAUGUAAAGCUCUAUCAGCAGGGAAGAUAAUGACGGUACCUGACUAAGAAGCACCGGCUAAAUACGUGCCAGCAGCCGCGGUAAUACGUAUGGUGCAAGCGUUAUCCGGAUUUACUGGGUGUAAAGGGAGCGCAGGCGGUGCGGCAAGUCUGAUGUGAAAGCCCGGGGCUCAACCCCGGUACUGCAUUGGAAACUGUCGUACUAGAGUGUCGGAGGGGUAAGUGGAAUUCCUAGUGUAGCGGUGAAAUGCGUAGAUAUUAGGAGGAACACCAGUGGCGAAGGCGGCUUACUGGACGAUAACUGACGCUGAGGCUCCAAAGCGUGGGGAGCAAACAGGAUUAGAUACCCCUGGUAGUCC
rnacentral:rRNA from 1 species